UGAUCCUGGCUCAGAGUGAACGCUGGCGGUAGGCCUAACACAUGCAAGUCGAACGGCAGCACAGGAGAGCUUGCUCUCUGGGUGGCGAGUGGCGGACGGGUGAGGAAUACAUCGGAAUCUACCUUUUCGUGGGGGAUAACGUAGGGAAACUUACGCUAAUACCGCAUACGACCUACGGGUGAAAGUGGGGGACCGCAAGGCCUCACGCGAUUAGAUGAGCCGAUGUCCGAUUAGCUAGUUGGCGGGGUAAUGGCCCACCAAGGCGACGAUCGGUAGCUGGUCUGAGAGGAUGAUCAGCCACACUGGAACUGAGACACGGUCCAGACUCCUACGGGAGGCAGCAGUGGGGAAUAUUGGACAAUGGGCGCAAGCCUGAUCCAGCCAUACCGCGUGGGUGAAGAAGGCCUUCGGGUUGUAAAGCCCUUUUGUUGGGAAAGAAAUCCUAUCGGUUAAUAACCGGUGGGGAUGACGGUACCCAAAGAAUAAGCACCGGCUAACUUCGUGCCAGCAGCCGCGGUAAUACGAAGGGUGCAAGCGUUACUCGGAAUUACUGGGCGUAAAGCGUGCGUAGGUGGUGGUUUAAGUCUGCUGUGAAAGCCCUGGGCUCAACCUGGGAAUUGCAGUGGAUACUGGAUUACUAGAGUGUGGUAGAGGGAUGCGGAAUUUCUGGUGUAGCAGUGAAAUGCGUAGAGAUCAGAAGGAACAUCCGUGGCGAAGGCGGCAUCCUGGGCCAACACUGACACUGAGGCACGA
rnacentral:rRNA from 1 species